CUUGAGCAUGGUGGUGGAGUUCUGGAAAAUUUCCACGCACGGGGCUGUUCCAGAUGCCGCCUUUGAAGAUGACCUUCACCCAACUUCUGGAGAGCUGGCAGAGAAGAGCUUUACUUUGAGGAUUGAGGAUGGCCCGAUGCACACUUGCCUAGCCUUAUUAACCUCCUCAGACAAUGCCAACGAUCCAAGAUCCUCCAGAGCAGCCACCACCCAGAAUCUAUGAUGACCUCUAUGACAUCCAUAGAGGCUCUUUCCUUCCAUUGAGAAACAAUAAUUCAAAUGCAAAGAGAUCCAUGAAGCACUGCGUCGGAUAAAAACUCAGCGUCAACGUGGAUGUCCAUGAGCUUGGAGCCUCUAGGUUUCUGAGAGGCUGGUGGAAACAUGGGGGGCUUCCACUGAUGAAGAGAAGCAAGGCAGGAAGAGGUCCCAGCUUGCCCAUUUGUUUCCCCACAUACAUUCAGCAGGACAGGGCAGCUAGUGGCCUUGUUAGGACAGCCUCUGGGUAUGGAUUUCCUGGCAGGCCUCACUUAUUAUUUCAGAAUGCACAAUACUCUACCAAGGAGCACUGCCUGCCCCUGUUAAUCCCUUGCCAUUGGACCACCUUCUCCCCUAGGUUGGCUUUGCAAUUGCUUUUCUAUUUUCCUGUGUGAGGUUUACAUCAGCAUCACAUUUCAGUGACAAUAAAAAUGGUUCUGGCACCUUCCAAAGAGCAUAAACCCAGCAAGCAAUUAGUAAUGAAGGGAGCUGUCAAGCAUUGCUCUGAGCACACUCAGCAGGAAGGCACAAUCCAAUUUUUGGAAUAUUCAGAAAAGCAGACCACACAAUU